CUCAGUCAGUCGUCCGACGCCGGCCGGCGUGUUCGUUUGCUACCCCGCGCAAGUCGUGUCCAUAAACUUCGUGUGUUGACGUUUGGAAAAUGUUUCAGUGACUUUAUUUUGUUGGACCUCUUGUGAAGGUCAAAAUCCUACCCCUCAAACCGAAUAUGUCCUGAAAAGUAACGGGUAACGAAGCCGUAUGUAUGAAGGCGCAUAAUAUGACCGGAGUGUCCAGGCGUGAUGCAACUUGUAAUGGUGAACUUUCUCAUCAUGUUUGACGUGGUGUUCGUGUUCUUUCUGUUUCUAAUCGCGGUGACUUGUAUAAUGAACUACAUGCCUGGAAGGAGACGGCAGGAGGUGAUAGAGGAAGAAGUGGACAGUGACGUCAUUCCCCCGCCGCCGCUGUUCGCAGGUGAUGACGUCAUGGCAAGCACCAGCCGGGAUACGUACGUGGUGAUACCGCCGCCACUGCAUAACGUUAGGUCGAAGGAUGGAUGUCCAAUACACGUCGUUUAGUAUACACGUACUGAUAUAUCAACGUAGGAGUUUAUUACAAAGAAGCCUUAUGAAAUUGUAGAUGUCAAAAAAUAAAUAAAACGUACUUAGUAAUUUUUUACCAAUUAGUCAGAUUUUAUUAAAUUUCAUAUGCAAAGACUAAAACGGUGGAAAGACGGGACUCAAGUGACGGUAAUUAGCUGUGAGGAAAUGAAGGAAACUUUAUAAAGUAAUUAAUUACGUGCAAAGAUAAUUGGAGAGAUAAAAAAUUGUUAUAAAUUGUACGUAGUAGAAUUUUGUUAACAAAAUUAUUUAAUAAUAGUUAUACAUAAAGAUGACAAUUAAUAAAAGUUCUUGUGCUGUUUUUAUUAUAUAAUUUAGGUAUUUUCUUUGCAAAAGCUUAUGCUAUUGAAGUCUAAUAUACUAUUUUAUAAACCGCAAUUUAUAUUUAUUUACUUAAUUAUGAUUUUGAUCAAUUCAUAAUGUGAUAAUAUUACGUAUCUUCUCUUCUCGAGAGAUAUUUUAUUGUGGUUAGUUUACACUGAGUAUUGUUGUGAUUGCUUAAUUUUUUAUACUUCAACUAUAGGCAAACCGCUUGAUUGAGUCUUCGACCGCGAGAGACAGGAGUGCGAGGCAUGAUGCUAUAGUCUGGCAAGUUUUUUGAUGACACUCCCAUGAUAAGCGGGCGCGGAGAGAAAAAUUGGGCGGGUGUGAAAUGCGUACGGGGAAGUGAGGUGCAUCAGUCGUGGGUUUUUCAUUCAGCCCCCCAGCCCACAUGAAUGUUACGAACGAAGUUGCCAAGCUAUACAGGAAGAAUUUUUUUUAGUACGGAUUUUUUUUCAUUUUGUACAUAAACAAAAUUUAAUGUUCACGUAUUUUUUUCUUUUUUUUGUUAACUCAAAAAUAACAAAGUUAUCGUUAGCUAAUGUUAUUUACUUAUAACCAGAAUUUGAGGGUCACCCUAUCGGUAAGAACAAAAUCAGCUUGUAGGUUCCUAUCUACCUAUCUUAUAAUGGACGUCAAGAAGUGCCGCCAGAAGUUGCGCAGUUUGUUUGGUAAUAAUGUGUCCAUUAUUUUGUUAUUAUGAGUCGUAAAUUGAAAAAAAUAUUAUACAAAAUGUACCGAAUUGUUUGUAGAUUUGUGUUCUAUUAAUGAUACAGAACCACGAAAAAAAAUAUCCACACUAAGGGCCAAAUCACCCUGUAAAGAUUCGAUGCGUCCGCUCCUCUGUCACAACUCUCUCUCUAUAAACACCGUGUUCCUAAACCACGCGGUGGAAGACUAGAGAUAUGUGGUUUGCCUACAAUUUAAUAUCUAGUAUUGUAUUACCAAAACACAUUACAUAAAGUGUUCAAUUUAGCUCCAAACGUUUGCAAAUGCUUAUUUAAGAUGGAUGUGACUGAAUAUUAGAUAAUUUAAAAUGAUUGUUAUAAAUGUGUACUUUGUAGUUAUAUGAAAUUUCUUGUAGUUAUGUAGAUAGCAUUAAUGGGAAAUUAACUGUGUCACUGUAUUCAUACAUGGGUGACAUUUAACGUUUAAUUUUAUUUCGAUAGUUAUUGAUUUAUUUAAAUAGUUAAGUCAAAUCGUACAAUAGAUAAAUGGAGCUACUAAAGUUGGAAAUAGUUGUAUUUAAUAUUAGAUGUAGGAUAUACAUAUUAUAAUAAUGAAAAGACAAUACGUAUCUGUAUUACUAUAAUUCUUUUCUUAAUAAAUUUUCUCAUAUCAUCGUUUUGAAUAAAAGUUUAUUUUAAGUUAACAGUAAACGGAAUAGCUUUAUUAAUAAAUAUUUAUGUAAGGUUGGUAAGUUUUACAAAAGUGUUUGAAUUCAAAAUUAUAAAUCAUUAUGAAAAAAAUAUGAAAUUGUUACUUAAAAUCUCAAUAUAUAAGGAAUUAGUUAUAUAAACACAAAAUGACUUCGUUUGACUAAAGUAAUUAAAUAAAAUGCUCUUUUUAUUAAUUUAGAAAUAAAGUUUCUACUUAUACACUAGCGAAGACGUGAGUAUAAUCUAGUAAAUUAUUUUAUUACUAUAUAGCCGUGAUCUUGAUCUCACGUGGUACCUACGUGCGUAGCAACUACGUACAUAACUUUGGUUACGUACGUUGUUGCUACGUGCGUAACUACUGUGCGUACGUUUAGAUAUUCAAAAAGUUUUAACACAGAAAACAUAUGUACUUAAUUACUUAUCUAUAAUUUAGUUGUGUAUAAAAGCCUAAAAACUUAGUCCUACUUUCGGAAUCUUAUUAUAAUAAUAAAACGGAUUAAACCGUAACUUUUAUUUAUUUAUAAUGCGAGAGAUUUAAGAAAACAUUUAAAAGAGUAAAUUUGCUCACGAGCAGCUACUCGCAAGUCUAAAGUGGAAACGCUUUGAAUAUUACAUAAAGAUCCUGGCAUUUCAAAUCCGGGAUAACACUCUGCAAGUAUGAACACUGAGGUAACAUUAACACUUUUGUAAAAUACAUAAUAUUAUUAUAUACUACCAGCCAGUGAGAUGUUACUACAUGGAGAUGUACUGAGUAAUAAAAAAUAUACCUCUGUAUUACUUAUGCCAACUAAAGGUUGCACUCCAAUGCAGCCAAACCGUCACUAUGACAGAAGUGGCUUUAUCAAUUACGGGGAGUAAUUUUUCAAAGUAAACAUUUGUACAGUCAUAACGUGCUCGUUGCUACAGAUUUUGAUCCAUGACAUGAUCAUAUUGAUCAUACAUUGCGCUAAUUACUACGCGUAACACCUAAAGUUAGUGAGUUCUCAUCUAAGUUAAACCACCAAGUUAAAGUUAAAAAUUUGGACUCUAAAUGUAAUAAAAUCUCAUUGGCCACGAUGAUAUUGUACGCGAAAACUUUAAAUAGAUAUUAUAAUACACGCUAACUCUUUGUUAGAAGUAGAAUAAGAAUUGCCUAAUGAGUAUUUAGUUAGGACUGAACAACGUUUGAUGUUGAUGUAAGAUAUUAAACGCAAAUGUUUCUCUAACACAGUACAGUCCACUUUGUUUAAAACAGGCCAGUUUAAAUAAUGAACGAUCCCAAA